CAAAACUCCAACUCUUCUCUCUGGAAAAGAGAUAUCUCAUCUUCGAAAUCACCGGGAAGUUACAGAAGUGGAGCUUUUAAUGGCACCCACCAUACCUAUAUUGAUGUUUAACAUCUCAGCCUCGACUCUAAGGCACUGAUAAUUAAUCUGGAUGGAGUCAGCCAGGCGCCCUGAAACCUCGGCGCAGCCUGUCUCCAAGUGCAGCACUCAAGACUUGAGGCAGUGGGCUCAGGACACGGUGGGUGCUGGAGCACAUGCGUUCUCCUGCAGGGGCUGCUGGGCCGGGCUGUGCGUGGCUGCUGGGGUGAGAGAACACGGCGAUGCUGAGAAACAUGCCUUACAGGCAGGCUGCUGAGCGGGCAGGUUGCGCUGCAUGAGAAAAUCUAUGCAAAUCUGGGCGUACAAACAGGCAGAGAGUGAGAAGCAGGACUACAGGUCUUUCGUUCUCACUGCUCUGCCUAAUUUAAGAGCAAGCCAGACCUGAUCCAGACAAUAGCGCCAACCACAAUGUCCAUUUAUUUGCAGAGUUGGCAGCUGGCUUAUGUAAGAAAUAAGGAAACUCUUCCUUUUCUCCUACAGACCAAUAUCCCCUGUGACAACACCAUCAGGAUGUGUUUCCUGGCUUGACCAUGUGUGAGCCCCACAGCCUCUCGCAGGGGAGAGAAGAGUUGAGAAGAGCAGAACAGUGCUGUCCCAGGACAGAGGACUGCCAGCACACCUGCCCUGGAGAAUGAAUUUAGUGAAUCCAUACUGAUGAAUGGGUGUCCGGAGCCCUUUCCCAGCCAGCCUGUGAAAAUUCCUGGACAACAUCAUGCUGUGAAGCUCCAGGUCUUUGCUGUCACAGGUCGGAGGAAUGCCAAGGCCACGUCUGGCAGGCAUCAGGGGACCAGCCGCAGCCGCCCCCAGAAGCAGCAUGAGCCCCGGAGCCAGGCACAGCCCUCCCACGUCUCCUUUGUGCCUCAAGACGCCCGGCCCCGCACCCACCCCCCAAGGGCUGCUUUCCCUGUUGAUAAUCCAUUAUCUACAUUUAAUGCCUCGCUGACGUCCUUCCCUUUGUCUGAUGGUGAAACCUCGACCAGAUGUGAAGCUUCUUAUGUUACUAAUGGCAAAUCCUUUUGCAAUAGCUGGUUGGAAAAUGGGGAAACUGUUUUCAUGAAGUGAAAAUUGAAACAUUGGAGUAAUUUUCAUUCUGCAAGCCUCACAAAGGAGUGGUUUUUAUUUGAGGUCAUUUCUAUUUUUUUUUUCCAGAAAAAAAGCUGUAGCUCAGAAGAUGAGUUUGUGGUAGCGCUCUCACCACUGAACAUUUCUGCUGUCCCAGUGCAGUUCCUAUUACUCUCGUGUUCCACUUCUGAAAAAAAAUGAAGUGGGGGAAGGGAGGUGGCACAGCCCAGGUCUGCAGGCUGCCUGAUGCCUUGCUGGGGCAGCUUAAGGCUUGGGAUACAGCCUGCCCUGGGCAGAGCCAUGAUAGCUGGAGCAGCGAGUCCUUGCCCUGCUGACAACUUAAAGAGGGUCAGCCACAACCCCCCUAUAAAGCAGAGGUGGUAAGGUGUGGCUGAGGAUGGCUCAAUCGUUUGCUGCCUCUCUGAGCAGUGUCCCCAGUAAGCUAUGCAGUGGGAGCGCCUGGGUGAAGAGCAGAAAGCACCCCUUGGUGCAGCGCGUGUUGGUGGGAGAGCAGACAGGCAGCAGUACCCAAACAAAGCCCUCGAGGGUUUGCAGAUGGAGCCAUGGUGCUGCAGGCUAGGAUCUAAACUGAGACCCCCAGGCUACGGGCAUGCAGCUAACACAGCAUGCAGCCCCUUUCUGGAGAGCGACAGCACUAGCAGGGC
ensembl:lncRNA